rnacentral:rRNA from 1 species
UACGAAGGGGGCUAGCGUUGCUCGGAAUUACUGGGCGUAAAGGGAGCGUAGGCGGAUAGUUAAGUCAGAGGUGAAAGCCCAGGGCUCAACCUUGGAACUGCGUCUGAUACUGGUUGGCUUGAAUCCGGGAGAGGGAUGCAGAAUUCCAGGUGUAGCGGUGAAAUGCGUAGAUAUCUGGAGGAAUACCGGUGGCGAAGGCGGCAUCCUGGACCGGCAUUGACGCUGAGGAGCGAAAGCCAGGGGAGCAAACGGG